UACGGAGGGGACUAGCGUUGUUCGGAAUUACUGGGCGUAAAGCGCACGUAGGCGGAUUUGUAAGUCAGGGGUGAAAUCCUGGAGCUCAACUCCAGAACUGCCUUUGAUACUGGGAAGCUCGAGUCCGGGAGAGGUGAGUGGAACUGCGAGUGUAGAGGUGAAAUUCGUAGAUAUUCGCAAGAACACCAGUGGCGAAGGCGGCUCACUGGCCCGGAACUGACGCUGAGGUGCGAAAGCGUGGGGAGCAAACAGG
rnacentral:rRNA from 1 species